rnacentral:lncRNA from 1 species
AUCAUAGGGAUCAAUUUCUAGUCGCAUAGCUUCAUAAUAAUUCUGCAAAGCUUCCGCGUAAUUUCCUUCGGAUUGAGCCGACAUCCGUUACGGUCGUCAUUCAAUUGAAAGAAUCUCCGUUCCAGAACCGUACGUGAGAUUUUCACCUCAUACGGCUCCUCCCUUAUGUGCAUAAUGAGAAUAAUACAUAGAAUCAAAAAAGAUUCAACGAUGAAAAUAUUCUCAUUAUGAACUCAGCAGGGCUAGUGUUUUUACAAGAAAUCUCUAGCCAACCUUCCUGCAAGAGAUUCUUUCUUAACAUCAAGCCUAUUGGGACUAGAUAGAAAUGAUAAGAUAACUCCCACAAUUUUUUUGUUUUUAACGCCUCCUAAUUUCCAGGAAUUAGUCACUUCAAUAGCCUUCGAUGGUUAUACGGGUAUCCAAAGGACGAACGAGAUGGAUGUUUGUUGUCCCAACCAUUCUUUUAGUCCCAAGCCCGCUAAGAAAAGGGCUGACUUAGAACAAAGUUUUCGUGUUGUUGAUUCCUAGGUGUAGCGCUUCUUCCCCUAUGCUGCCUAUUAGCGCUAGUAGAGUAGGAUUGACCCGUAAUACAGAACCUCUAGGCGUAACCUUUCGCUUAAUACUAGAAUCUAUAAUUGAAACAUAGCAUCUGAGGUUGCAUUAAUCGAGGAUACACGACAGAAGGAAUUGUUCUAUUUCCAAACUUCACCUUCAAAAAGCGUAGAUUUUUUUUCUCGAAUCAUGUGUUUUUCUCCUCGUAAGACUGAGAGAAAUGAAUAAAUAUAAAAUCAAAAAAAAAAAGAAUCAAAUCGCACCAUCUCUGUAAUAGGUAAAUGCCUCUUUUUCUCCGGAAGUUGUCGGAAUUACUCGUAAUAAGAUAUCGGCUACAAUUGAAAAGGUCUUAUCAAUAAAAUUUCCAUUUAUCCGUGAUCUAGGCAUAGGUAGCAAUCCAUUCUAGAAUUCUUUUCAUUACCUCUCGUGGGAAAAAGAUCCCACAAAGAAAAGAAUUGUAUAGUACGAAAUAACAUAAAAACUUCUUUUUUUUAACAAAAAAACAAAAGAUAUGAAUCCUCUAUUCCAAUUGUUCCUUUUUGACAGGAAUCGAGAAGAAAUAAGAAAUAAGAAAUAUUUCAACGCGAUUCGAUUUCAUACUAAUGUAGUAGUAUAGGAACUAUUCCGAUUUCGGUGAAGUUACAAAUUAGAAGAACUCGAGAAAUUUUGAUUGAAUCAUGAUACAAAUUACAAAGAAGAAAAAAGAUCGACUAAUCAUUCUAUGAUGAAAAUAGAAUAACUGCCAAUUUUGUGUACAUAACGGGUAUACACUAUACAAUCGAAUCUAAAUUUUUGAUGAAUUUCUAUUCUAAUAGAGGGGUAGGUAUUUGUUGUUGAGAACUCCAAAACCGAAAAGGAAUUAAAAAAAUUUUCUGGUAUGGAAUCAUAGUCUAUAUAAUUAUAAUUACAGUUAUGAUUUAAGAGUAUCCAUUAACUAUAGUCUAAAAGAUAUAGACCAUCAAUCAGUUGAUUCGUUCUAAUUCAUUGAAUUAAUCCGUUAUAAAAAUAGAAAAAUAUCAGAAAAAGAAGGGAACGUUGUUUUUGCAAACAUGAAUUGAAUUUUUUUGAACAAUUUUUCGUAAAAAUUGUAUCUUUAUCCCGGAGCCUCGAAGGAAAGAAAAACCGUUCUUUGCUUUGACUUUGAUGACAAAUUUUCAGUUAAAAUGGAUUGGUCGUACCUAUCCAAUAAUGGAAUAUGGAUUAUGACUGACUCGCUAUUCACUCGGUUUUGGGGUCAUAAUCAUUAUGUAGGAGAGAUGGCCGAGUGGUUCAAGGCGUAGCAUUGGAACUGCUAUGUAGGCUUUUGUUUACCGAGGGUUCGAAUCCCUCUCUUUCCGUACCUUCGCUUAAUUCACCAAUUUUACUAACAACAAGGACUCAAAUAGCAUUGUAUACCAUUAUUCCAACAGCUAGACCCUUCUUUGAUCUAAAGAUAUAGAUUCUCAAUUCCUAAUUGCUGUGACGCGUAAAAUAGAAUACUCAAAAAUAAUCAUAAUCAAAAUACUGGAAAGAAAAGAAUAGACAAGGAAUGAAAAUAGAUCCUUGGUCUAUGAUACAAAAAUGGGGGAAAUCUAGAUCAAACUCGGAUUGAUCUUACUUAACUUACUUAACCUUGGGUUAAUUUACUUCGCCUAAAGGGAAGAAAUUUUUGCGAACCCUUGGUUUAAGUCUGAGGUUUAAGUCUGACGAGAAUAAUAUUCUACGACUAGCAAUUCAUUUAUUUUCAAACCGACCCAUUUACUAUCUAUUAUUUGAUUGACUAAUCCUUUAUAUUGGAAUGGCUGAAGGGUCAAAUGAUUUGGUAAUUCCUCAUGAGGGGAUGAAUCGAGAGAAAUUUGAAUCAGAGCUCUGGAUUUUUGUUCAUCCUUUGCCGUAAUAAUAUCUCGGGGUUUGCAGCGAUAACUCGGUAUAUCUACUAUAUGACCAUUAACUAAAAUAUGUCGAUGGU